UGGGGAAUUUUGGACAAUGGGGGAAACCCUGACCCAGCCAUCCCGCGUGUGCGAUGAAGGCCUUCGGGUUGUUAAGCACCUUUGGCAGGUAAGAAACGUCAUGGGUUAAUACCCUGUGAAACUGACGGUACCUGCAGAAUAAGCAUCGGCUAACUACGUGCCAGCAGCCGCGGUAAUACGUAGGGUGCAAGCGUUAAUCGGAAUUACUGGGCGUAACGUGUGCGUAGGCGGUUCGGUAAGAAAGAUGUGAAAUCCCAGAGCUCAACUUUGGAACUGCAAUUUUAACUGCCGGACUUGAGUGUGUCAGAGGGAGGUGGGAUUCCGCGUGUAGCAGUGAAAUGCGUAGAUGUGGGAAGGAACACCGAUAGCGAAGGCAGCCUCCUGGGAUAACACUGACGCUCAUGCACGAAAGCGUGGGGAGCAAACAGG
rnacentral:rRNA from 1 species